UCCGUUCGGCGGUCUGUCGGCGUGCCCGAAUCCGACCAAAUAGGCGGAGCUCGAGGCGUGAUAGUUUUUGUAAUAUACUGAAUCUGGGUCUAUUGACAAGUUCAAGGGUUGGAAUGGCUUUUGGAACUGAUCUACGACGUUUGAUAGACCUUAGAAAGGUUUUGACAAGUUACUGAAGUGAGAAAGUAACUGGAAUUGAAAAAUUGCAUCGUAAAUGCAUUAUCAAUUGCAACGCUUCGAAUUUGGUCAAUUACGAAGUUCGAAUGUGAAAAAUGG
rnacentral:lncRNA from 1 species